rnacentral:rRNA from 1 species
AAUUCGAUUAGUUUGAUCAUGGCUCAGAUUGAACGCUGGCGGCAUGCCUAACACAUGCAAGUCGAACGGCAGCACAGCUUAAGCUUGCUUAAGUGGGUGGCGAGUGGCGGACGGGUGAGUAAUGCAUCGGGACCUACCUGAACGUGGGGGAUAACGUAGGGAAACUUACGCUAAUACCGCAUACGUCCUACGGGAGAAAGCGGGGGACCUUCGGGCCUCGCGCGGUCAGACGGACCGAUGUUCGAUUAGCUAGUUGGUAAGGUAAUGGCUUACCAAGGCGACGAUCGAUAGCUGGUCUGAGAGGAUGAUCAGCCACACUGGAACUGAGACACGGUCCAGACUCCUACGGGAGGCAGCAGUGGGGAAUAUUGGACAAUGGGCGCAAGCCUGAUCCAGCAAUGCCGCGUGUGUGAAGAAGGCCUUCGGGUUGUAAAGCACUUUUAUCGGGAGCGAAAUACCAUUGGUUAAUAACCGGUGGGGCUGACGGUACCCGAGGAAUAAGCACCGGCUAACUUCGUGCCAGCAGCCGCGGUAAUACGAAGGGUGCAAGCGUUAAUCGGAAUUACUGGGCGUAAAGGGUGCGUAGGCGGUUAGUUAAGUCUGUUGUGAAAUCCCCGGGCUCAACCUGGGAAUGGCAAUGGAUACUGGCUAGCUAGAGUGUGUCAGAGGAUGGUGGAAUUUCCGGUGUAGCGGUGAAAUGCGUAGAGAUCGGAAGGAACAUCAGUGGCGAAGGNGGCCAUCUGGGACAACGCUGACGCUGAAGCACGAAAGCGUGGGGAGCAAACAGGAUUAGA